rnacentral:rRNA from 1 species
GUCUAGAGCCAUACCACCCUGAACGCGCCCAAUCCCAUCUGAUCCCUGAAGCUGAGCAGGGUCGAGCCUGGUUAAUUUUGGAUG